GGGGAAUAUUGCACAAUGGGCGAAAGCCUGAUGCAGCGACGCCGCGUGAGGGAUGACGGCCUUCGGGUUGUAAACCUCUUUCAGCAGGGAAGAAGCGAAAGUGACGGUACCUGCAGAAGAAGCACCGGCUACCUACGUGCCAGCAGCCGCGGUAAUACGUAGGGUGCGAGCGUUGUCCGGAAUUAUUGGGCGUAAAGAGCUUGUAGGCGGUUUGUCGCGUCUGCAGUGAAAAUCCGAGGCUCAACCUCGGACUUGCGGUGGGUACGGGCAGACUAGAGUAUGGUAGGGGAGACCGGAAUUCCUGGUGUAGCGGUGGAAUGCGCAGAUAUCAGGAGGAACACCGAUGGCGAAGGCAGGUCUCUGGGCCAUAACUGACGCUGAGAAGCGAAAGCAUGGGGAGCGAAC
rnacentral:rRNA from 1 species